rnacentral:rRNA from 1 species
UACGUAGGGGGCGAGCGUUAUCCGGAUUCACUGGGUGUAAAGGGAGCGUAGACGGCCAAGCAAGCCAGGGGUGAAAGCCCGGGGCCCAACCCCGGGACUGCCCUUGGAACUGCAUGGCUGGAGUGCGGGAGGGGCAGGCGGAAUUCCUGGUGUAGCGGUGAAAUGCGUAGAUAUCAGGAGGAACACCGGCGGCGAAGGCGGCCUGCUGGACCGCGACUGACGUUGAGGCUCGAAAGCGUGGGGAGCGGACAGG